GCUGGGGGCCGGGGGCCUGGGCGCUCUGCUUCCUCCCCUGACCCUCCCCGCCCUCCCUCAGGUAUUGGGGCUUGUGGCCACCUUCCUGUUUGCCUACGACGCCUAUAGCACCUUCCAGGCCCAGCGGAGCCGCCACACUCCGGCUGCCACGGAGUCUCCCGACGGCCCCUCGUAGUGCCACUGGCCGCCGUGGGCUCCCUCCCUCCUCCCAGAAGAGCGAAGAGGAUGGCCCGUGCCUGUGGAUCUCCCUCCUCUCCCUCCCCUUCAGGAGCCCAGAGAGGGGGCACAGGAAGACGACAAAUAAAUGGGGGACGAGUCAACUGA